CAGCAGUAUUCCUUGUGCUUUCCCUGGUCUUCUGCACGUCUCUGCAGUUCCCAGCUGGGAUCUAGAGCUGGUGCUGCACUUCCCUCCAGCGAGACCCCCAUUGGAACCAGUGCUGCUUGGAGAGAUGCCAUGUCUGGAGAUGGGAGGACUCGGGAAGCCGUGCUCCAGACACUCCAAUUCCUCCAGUGCUCCAGGAGCAGCCAGCCGUGCCUGGGGAAUGUCUGUGUGUGCAGGAGCUUCACAGCCUUGUUUGGGAAGCUGCUUCCCAGGCACAGAGCCCAGGCUUUGUGAGAGUGCAUCACAUACCCUACAGAGGCAAUGGUGGCAUCUCCAAAAUGAGGGCCUAACUUUGCUAUCAAGCUUUGGUGCAAGUUCUGAGGAGGCUUUGGCAUCACCGAGUCUUCCAAGAGCCAGUCAAGUUUUCAGGGCAAUACAUAAAGUACCUGUUCAUCCUGAUACCAGAAUGUUCCCAGCAGCUAAGUAGGUUUUGUUGGAUGCAUAAUGCUGGGUUUGGGUUGCACUCUGGCUGAAUGCAGCUUUUGUGGCUAAGGAUCAAUCUGCUAAUUAGGAAAUACAAUGCUAGGAUCUUUCUGCAGUCUCAUUGUAAGGAGAUGUAAUUUGUAAUGGCCACGUUCAUCUUACAGUCACCAUAAGUAAAUAAUAUGUUCUG